rnacentral:lncRNA from 1 species
ACAACCGUCGCAAAUUUGCCACCAUUUUGGAACGAUUUGCCUGUUGGCGACUAUUGUGCGACUAUUUUUGCAACUAUUUACCGACCAUAGUUGCGACUAUUUUGGUACUAAAUGUGAAAUUACUUGAGUUUUGCAAAGUUUUGUAACCUUAAACUAAUAUAUGUCCUCUAUAACCCUAAUAUGAGUGUUAUAGAGUGACAUAUAUAACCAUUUUGGAUUGAAAUGUGUAUAC